rnacentral:rRNA from 1 species
UACGUAGGGGGCUAGGCGUUGUCCGGAAUCAUUGGGCGUAAAGAGCGCGUAGGCGGCCAGAUAAGUCCGGUGUGAAAGUCACAGGCUCAACCUGUGAAUGCCGCUGGAAACUGUCUGGCUAGAGUCCGGAAGGGGCGAGUGGAAUUCCUGGUGUAGCGGUGAAAUGCGCAGAUAUCAGGAGGAACACCAAUGGCGAAGGCAGCUCGCUGGGACGGUACUGACGCUGAGGCGCGAAAGCGUGGGGAGCGAACAGG